rnacentral:rRNA from 1 species
UACGUAGGGUGCGAGCGUUAAUCGGAAUUACUGGGCGUAAAGCGUGCGCAGGCGGUUUUAUAAGCCAGAUGUGAAAGCCCCGGGCUCAACCUGGGAAUGGCAUUUGGGACUGUAAGGCUGGAGUAUGGCAGAGGAGACUAGAAUUCCUGGUGUAGCAGUGAAAUGCGUAGAUAUCAGGAGGAAUACCGAUGGCGAAGGCAGGUCUCUGGGCCGGUACUGACGCUGAGGAGCGAAAGCGUGGGUAGCAAACAGG